rnacentral:pre_miRNA from 1 species
AGUAAGGGAAAAUCAAACCCCUUUCUACACAGGUUGGGAUCGGUUGCAAUGCUGUGUUUCUGUAUGGUAUUGCACUUGUCCCGGCCUGUUGAGUUUGGUGGGGAUUGUGACCAGAAGAUUU